AUGGUUAAGUUAGAAAGGGCGCACGGUGGAUGCCUUGGCACUAGGAGCCGAAGAAGGACGGGACUAACACCGAUAUGCUUUGGGGAGCUGUACGUAAGCGUUGAUCCAGAGAUUUCCGAAUGGGGGAACCCACUAUCUUUAGUCGGAUAGUAUCCUUACGUGAAUACAUAGCGUAAGGAAGGCAGACCCAGGGAACUGAAACAUCUAAGUACCUGGAGGAAGAGAAAGAAAAAUCGAUUUCCUGAGUAGCGGCGAGCGAAACGGAAAGAGCCCAAACCAAGAAGCUUGCUUCUUGGGGUUGUAGGACACUCUAUACGGAGUUACAAAGGAAUGUGGUAAACGAAGUGGUCUGGAAAGGCCCGCCAAAGAAGGUAACAGCCCUGUAAUUGAAAGCAUAUUCCCUCCAGAGUGGAUCCUGAGUACGGCGGAACACGUGAAAUUCCGUCGGAAUCCGGGAGGACCAUCUCCCAAGGCUAAAUACUCCCUAGUGACCGAUAGUGAACCAGUACCGUGAGGGAAAGGUGAAAAGCACCCCGGAAGGGGAGUGAAACAGUUCCUGAAACCGUGUGCCUACAAGUAGUUAGAGCCCGUUAAUGGGUGAUAGCGUGCCUUUUGUAGAAUGAACCGGCGAGUUACGAUUUGUUGCAAGGUUAAGCGGAAAAAGCGGAGCCGUAGCGAAAGCGAGUCUGAAUAGGGCGCAUGAGUAACAGGUCGUAGACCCGAAACCAGGUGAUCUACCCAUGUCCAGGAUGAAGGUGAGGUAAUACUCACUGGAGGUCCGAACCCACGCACGUUGAAAAGUGCGGGGAUGAGGUGUGGGUAGCGGAGAAAUUCCAAUCGAACCUGGAGAUAGCUGGUUCUCUCCGAAAUAGCUUUAGGGCUAGCCUCGAGGUAAAGAGUCGUGGAGGUAGAGCACUGUUUGGACUAGGGGCCCUUCUCGGGUUACCGAAUUCAGAUAAACUCCGAAUGCCAUGUACUUAUACUCGGGAGUCAGACUGCGAGUGAUAAGAUCCGUAGUCGAAAGGGAAACAGCCCAGACCACCAGUUAAGGUCCCAAAAUAUAUGUUAAGUGGAAAAGGAUGUGGGGUUGCAUAGACAACCAGGAUGUUGGCUUAGAAGCAGCCACCAUUGAAAGAGUGCGUAAUAGCUCACUGGUCGAGUGACCCCGCGCCGAAAAUGUACCGGGGCUAAACAUAUUACCGAAACUGUGGAUGAACCUCUUCGGAGGUUCGUGGUAGGAGAGCGUUCUAAGGGCGGUGAAGUCAGACCGGAAGGACUGGUGGAGCGCUUAGAAGUGAGAAUGCCGGUAUGAGUAGCGAAAGAAGGGUGAGAAUCCCUUCCACCGAAUAUCUAAGGUUUCCUGAGGAAGGCUCGUCCGCUCAGGGUUAGUCGGGACCUAAGCUGAGGCCGAUAGGCGUAGGCGAUGGACAACAGGUAGAUAUUCCUGUACCAGUGCGAGUUGUUUGAGCAAUGGGGUGACACAGAAGGAUAGGGAAUCGCACAGAUGGAAA
rnacentral:rRNA from 1 species